UGAGGAAAAGAAACCAACAGGGUAUGCCCUAGUAACGGCGAAGUGAAGCGGCAACAGCUUCAAAUUUUGAAAGCUAGCCUUCGGGUUUCGCAUUUGUAAUUCUGUAGAGGAUGAUUUGGGGAAGCCGCCUGUCUAAGUUCCUUCGGAACAGGACGUCAUAGAGGGUGAGAAUCCCGUAUGUGACAGGAAAUGGCACCCUAUGUAAAUCUCCUUCGACGAGUCGAGUUGUUUGGGAAUGCAGCUCUAAAUGGGAGGUAAAUUUCUUCUAAAGCUAAAUAUUGGCGAGAGACCGAUAGCGCACAAGUAGAGUGAUCGAAAGAUGAAAAGCACUUUGGAAAGAGAGUUAAAAAGCACGUGAAAUUGUUGAAAGGGAAGCGCUUGCAAUCAGACUUGUUUAAACUGUUCGGCCGGUCUUCUGACCGGUUUACUCAGUUUGGACAGGCCAGCAUCAGUUUCGGCGGCCGGAUAAAGGCUCUGGGAAUGUGGCCUCCACUUCGGUGGAGGUGUUAUAGCCCAGGGUGUAAUACGGCCAGCCGGGACUGAGGUCCGCGCUUCGGCUAGGAUGCUGGCGUAAUGGUUGUAAGCGACCCGUCUGA
rnacentral:rRNA from 1 species